rnacentral:rRNA from 1 species
CGUGAGUAACCUGCCCUUGACUCUGGGAUAAGCCUGGGAAACCGGGUUCUAAUACUGGAUAUGACCUUCUGGCGCAUGCCAUGUUGGUGGAAAGCUUUAUUGCGGUUUUGGAUGGACUCGCGGCCUAUCAGCUUGUUGGUGGGGUAAUGGCCUACCAAGGCGACGACGGGUAGCCGGCCUGAGAGGGUGGACGGCCACACUGGGACUGAGACACGGCCCAGACUCCUACGGGAGGCAGCAGUGGGGAAUAUUGCACAAUGGGCGCAAGCCUGAUGCAGCGACGCCGCGUGGGGGAUGAAGGCCUUCGGGUUGUAAACCUCUUUCAGUAGGGAAGAAGCGAAAGUGACGGUACCUGCAGAAGAAGCGCCGGCUAACUACGUGCCAGCAGCCGCGGUAAUACGUAGGGCGCAAGCGUUAUCCGGAAUUAUUGGGCGUAAAGAGCUCGUAGGCGGUUUGUCGCGUCUGCCGUGAAAGUCCGGGGCUUAACUCCGGAUCUGCGGUGGGUACGGGCAGACUAGAGUGAUGUAGGGGAGACUGGAAUUCCUGGUGUAGCGGUGAAAUGCGCAGAUAUCAGGAGGAACACCGAUGGCGAAGGCAGGUCUCUGGGCAUUAACUGACGCUGAGGAGCGAAAGCAUGGGGAGCGAACAGGAUUAGAUACCCUGGUAGUCCAUGCCGUAAACGUUGGGCACU